UUUAAACCUUGAAAUAAUUUCGAAUUUCACAAAUUUACACUGUUUCGUAUUCCCAGAACACUGAGAAGAAAAAUACUAACUAGCAAGGUGGAAUAAAAACGAAAAUAAAAUAUCCAACUAGAUGUAAACCAGUUCCAGAUCUUCAAAUGAACACGCCAUCACUCUUUCAAAUCAUUCCAAAGCUGAAGCAGUUAUCAAAAUUCAAGACAGUACACAGUCACGACCGCAAAUUUUCAAAAUGAAAAAAUAAAAAUAAAAAAGUCCUCCCACCAAAAUACCAAGUACCCGUCUUAUCUCCCCUUAAACCUUGAAAACCCUUUGAAUUCCACAAUUUUUUGCCAGGAGGUCUAGAUGGCGGUUCUUGAGAAGGAGAUCCAGUGAGCUGCUGAACUAUAUUACGGAAAUCAUUCUUGUUAAUAUUGUAGACUUGGGGUUGAGGCUGUUGCCUAGCAGGGCCAGAAAAAUUGGGCUGGUGUAAAGGACUCUUCUUAAUGUUUUUUCCCAUCUUGUUCACACCCAAAUGAUCAAUCUGUCUAUUCAUCUGCCCAGGCAGAUUUGAAUUAUCCAUUUUCCCUUUUCAAGUCAACAACUAUACUUCAACAAUGCAAAAGCUCAAUUCUUCCUGAAUAAAAUAUCCCACUAGAUUUAAAACGGUUCUAGAUCUUCAAAUGAACAUGGCCACCUAUCUUUCAAAUCAUUACAAAGAUAAAGCGAACAAUCAAAACUUCAAGAUAACACAGAAUCAAGACUGUAUCUUUUUUCCUUUAAACCUUGAAAUAAUUUCGAAUUUCACAAAUUUACACUGUUUCUUAUUCCCAAAACACUGAGAAGAAAAAUACUAACUAGCAAGGUGGAAUAAAAACGAAAAUAAAAUAUCCCACUAGAUGUAAACCAGUUCCAGAUCUUCAAAUGAACACGCCAUCACUCUUUCAAAUCAUUCCAAAGCUGAAGCAGUAAUCAAAAUUCAAGACAGUACACAGUCACGACCGCAAAUUUUCAAAAUGAAAAAAUAAAAAUAAAAAAGUCCUCCCACCAAAAUACCAAGUACCCGUCUUAUCUCCCCUUAAACCUUGAAAACCCUUUGAAUUCCACAAUUUUUUGCCAGAACAUGGAGAAGAUCAUUAAUAGCUUGCAAGGUAGAGUAAAAAUGGAAAUAAACACUACCGAAAAUUAAAAAUAAGAGAAACCAAACCCUAGUACGGAGUAGCGGCUAAGAAGGGUGUCCACCGGUCAACGAGGAAAAUGAAAUGCAAACGGAAAUAGAAUUACGAAUUUACGAUAAUGAUUAUGUGUUUUACCAGUUGGGAAAAAGAUGAAAUGAGCACAGUGGGGUCUCCGUUGAAUGCGCGUUUUUUUU
rnacentral:lncRNA from 1 species